CCAUAUCGCGCUAAGCUCAUCACUGCUGGUUAUGACAGGCGUGCAGCGGUAGGUAUCUGCUCCCCAACUUCCACCCUAAUACGGUACAAUAAGUUACCAUUUGAUGAGAAUGGGACAAUGCCCUCACUGUGUAUGGAGUCAUGGGGAUAAGAAGACAUUAUUCAUUAGUGUUGGUACAAGUGAUUUUGCCCAAAAAGCAUGCGCAUUCAAAAAACAAAAUAUGCAAGGUAUCACGUACAUGACCAUGACGACGUGCAGAAAGUGCACUGGCCAGUGCAUACCCUAUGGCUAUGUAUAGUAAACAUGGUAAACAUGAACAACAUCAUUAUUCAUCGGCAGUUCAUUUUACUCCGAGCUUUUCCUGAAACUAAUUGCCAUGAUGAUUAGGCCUACCAUGUACCAUGACCAAUAACGGCACUAGAUCAUGUAGAUGUCAACAAGUUCACAUGAACCGUAUAAUCCCGCAUAAUCCCGCAUGGCGCAUGUGGGGCAUGCGUCUAAACCAAAGCCCCAAAAUCACUUGUUUUGGUCUAUUUCACUUGUGUUUCCCCCGUCUCCCAGUCCAUAAUACAUUUACAGUUUACAAUCCCCGAUCAUGGCCCAACAAAAGGUCAUCGGUUGACUAAAGCCAAGGAACACAACUGUUCAAUGGAUUUAUAGUUGAAUACGAUCAAACUACGUCUUUUCAAUCGUGGAUUGUAAAUUUAACCCCAUGGGCCUAGGGAAGGCCCUAUAACAAUACUUUCGACACAGUUAUUAUCUCCGCUGCCUUCACCAUGUUACACACAGUGCUCACUGCUGAUUCUAAAAUGCGCCACCUAGUCAAUUGCACUAUCGUCAUCACCUCAUCAUACUUCAUUGACAUUACAGGCACACAUUGACAUAGACCACUGUUGCAAUCAACGACACAGUCGCUAUCCAAGUAGCAUUAUAGAGCUGUCAUGCAACGCAACAACUGUGCUAUCUGCCAUCGCACAUCAACGAAGAAGUGCAGCCGCCCACAUUCCACCUCACGUCUGUCCGACCAGCUGCAAUCCUCGAGGACGCCCCACUGUACCACGAUUUCACUACGAUGUUUGACAAGAAGGAGCAGUGCGCGAGAUAGGCUAAUGAGCAGACUUCCCUCGCUUGAGUUUCAGAAGAAUGUUCCAUAUCGCGCUAAGCUGACCACUGCUGACCAUGACAGGCGUGCAUUGGACUGGUACAGGUUGGAACUGAACAUUGAAUAUGCUGGUGGUGACGCUUUCUGAUGAGAAGUUGGUCGUGACUGAUGCAGUAUCCUUGGACUUGUCCACAGCAUCGUUCAAUCAUUGCUCUCUGAGCUGCCUUGAUUCUGCCUUGAUUCUGUACCCAAAUACUUAGACCAAAUGCCUGUUGACUGUGCUUUAAGAGAGACUGGCGCCAUACCUAGAGAUAUGACUGACCCGUAUUGGCAAAUUUGUAUGACUGUAUCUUGCCUACCUAGCUGCUGCCUAUAGUCUCCCUUUAACUGCGGAACACUUCAAAGUCGAUAAAAUGCCAUGUUCCACCUUUUAAUGUGUUCAGACUGCCAUUUUCAAAAUAAUCAAGUCAGGACACUGCCUUCUAGUCUCAUAAUAAAUUUGCUUUCCUCAAUAUAUAAUAACAUUUCUUCUUCUUCAAUGCUUUCAUCAUUCCAAACUUCUCCUCCUCUGACUUUUACAGGGGUACAGUCCUGGCAAUCAAAACCCAAAUACUGAGACCAAAUGCCUGUUGACUGUGCUUUAAGAGAGACUGGCGCCAUGCCUAGUCUCUCUUAAAGCACAGUCAACAGACACCAACCCCCUCAGACUCAGAAACCACAAACGCCCAACCCUUCCUGCUACCCUAAUACUUCUGGAUGAAUGGUUUCACUUGAAUGAUUGGUAUAGUCUUCUAGUCUCUCAACCUGUGCUCUGAAUAAGAUUCAAUACAAAGGCCACAUCUACAAGAGCAUGCAGCUGUCGUCUCCUUCAUAGUUAACAACUUCCUCUUCGAUAUCCAGUAUUCCAGUCUGACGUGUGAUGGCACGAACUGCACACCAAAAUACUGGUUCAAAUGAAUGUCGAUAUCGCGAAUGAUGAUCUUUAAAGCUGAAAACAAAAGAAUAAGGUCUUGAACAUCUUGUAAUGAAGUGGUGAAGUUGGUCGAAUGCAAUCUUCACAAUAAAUAAACUGCACCCAACAAGACAUACACUUGCAUACUCUUAGAUACGAUUGGUAGUCUUGAUAAUUUUCUAGUUUUGUACCGAAACCCAUUUUAGUUGUACAUGUACGUAUUAAAGUAAAGAUCAGUUGUCCUGAAAACCAUUUUACUUGGUGAGUUUUCAAGUAUUCCUAUGUCUAUCUCCAAAACUGAUUACCAUGAAGAGAGAGGUAAGCUAGUUGGAAAUCCAUGCGUGUGAAAUAAAUCUCCCUAUUUUCAGUUUCUCAGGGAUGUUACACCCAAUGGUAGAUAUCAUAAUGAGCCUCUCCCCUAUGGAUUGGAACAUGCUUGCAACCUCUGAAGUGUCUCACUAGCAGAGCCAGAUACACAGCAUUCUACCAGGAUUUUCCGCUUACCCUAUUCAAGGUUACAGGGGACGAGGUUUGGAGUAAACUAUUGUAAAAGUGCAUUGUACAUGUUGACCUGAACACAUAACAUGGCGAUUUGGCAUGUGAUUUCAUGAUAAGCAGAUCGAAGCCAAGUGUGGUGAAUUUCUCAGACAUGCUGUACAUCUUUGAUGCCAUGAGUGGUCUUUGCAGUUUUUGGUUGUGAGAUUAAAUUGAUGCCAAAAUCUUUGUAAUAGGAGUUUGUACAUAAAGGUUGACCCCAAGUUGUGUACAUUUUACCCUUGCACACAUACAUUAUUGAAUAAGGUGUAUUCCAUACAACUUAAUGUAAGUUAUUUUUCGUAGCUAGUCAAUGACUAAUGUAUGCUAGCUGAUGAUAAAUAAAUGUCUAUUCUAAGUAAA